rnacentral:tRNA from 6 species
GAGACGCUACGGACUUAGAAAAUCCGUUGGCUUUAUUGACCGUGAGGGUUCAAGUCCCUCUACCCCC